rnacentral:miRNA from 1 species
UCCUUGUAGAUGAGUUGUGCA